GAUUAACGCUGGCGGCGUGCCUAACACAUGCAAGUCGAGCGGCAGCGAGUUUUACACUGACUUCUGGAAGCUUCUAGUUGAAAGAGAAGAUUUAUUCAAGAAUUUUGUGUAAAAUGUCGGCGAGCGGCGGACGGCUGAGUAACGCGUGGGAACGUACCCCAAAGUGCGGGAUAACGCAUCGAAAGGUGUGCUAAUACCGCAUAUGGUCUUCGGAUUAAAGCCUUCGGGCGCUUUGGGAACGGCCUGCGUAAGAUUAGAUAGUUGGUGGGGUAAUGGCCUACCAAGUCGACGAUCUUUAACUGGUUUGAGAGGAUGAUCAGUCAGACUGGAACUGAGACACGGUCCAGACUCCUACGGGAGGCAGCAGUGAGGAAUCUUGGACAAUGGGCGAAAGCCUGAUCCAGCCAUGCCGCGUGUGUGAAGAAGGUCUUCGGAUUGUAAAGCACUUUAAGUUGGGAGGAAGGGCAGUAAGUUAAUACCUUGCUGUUUUGACGUUACCAACAGAAUAAGCACCGGCUAACUUCGUG
rnacentral:rRNA from 1 species